UAAAAGGCCACAGAUGAGCUCCCCUGUUUCGGAGGAAAAUGGAAGUCAAUGGUGAAGCAAGAGCUAGAGGUGAAGGAGUGAGAGGAAGAGGAGGAGGAAGAAGAGGACGAGGAAGGACAGUUGUCUCAGAUGAGAUCAGGGCCACGUUGGUUGACCAUGUGGUCAACCAUGGGUUGAGUAUGAGGGAGGCUGGGCAGAGAGUUCAGCCCAACCUGAGCCGCUACACGGUUGCAUCUAUCAUCCGUACAUUCAGCAAUGACAACCGAACUGAGAGACGGCCAGGCCAUAGUGGAAGACCCCGUUCAUGCCAGAACAGGAAACCACUAUGGUGAUCAUGGUGGUGGUCAACAAUACCAUUAGACUACGAGAAAUCCAGAACCACAUAAUUACAGACAACACAAUAUUCAAUAACAUUCACCAGGUGGGCUUGUCUAGAUUGGACCGUGUAUUACAGCGCAACCGAAUCCGGAUGAAACAGGUCUACAGGGUGACAUUUGAGUGAAACUCAGAGGGUUAAAGAACAGCCUUAUGAAUAUGUGCAAAGUCUUGGAGCUGGAUGCCGCUGCAAUUCAGCACGUUUAGAUUUACAUUGAUGAGGCUGACUACAACCUAGCCGAAAGAAGGGGACGGAACAUUAUUGGCCACCGUGCCAUUGUGAAUGUCCCUGGACAGCGUGGAGGGAAUAUCACCAUGUGGGCAGCCGUUAGCCAGCAAGGCGUCCUCCAUCACCAUGCCAACCUUGGUCCCUACAACACCACCCUUCUCAUCACGUUCCUGGACACUGCAUGGCAUCCUCAUUCCAGCCGAGCAGAGGGGUGGGACCAGAGCAGCCCAGGUAUGUUGUCAUCUGGGACGACGUGAGUUUCCACCGGGCUGCUCUGCUCCGCAACCGGUUCAUCGACCACCCAGAAUUUAUUGUUCUAUACCUCCCACCAUAUUCCCAUAUCCUAAACCCAAUCGAAUAGUUUUUUCUGGCAUGGCGAUGGAAUGUGCAUGACCGCCAUGCCCUCGCACUCAUGUCUCUUCUCCGGGCAAUGGAGGAUGCAUAUGGUGAAGUUGAUGUGGGGGCUUUCGGCGGCUGGAUCCGUCACUCCAGAAGAUUCUUUCCCUGCUGUUUAGCCAGUGAGAACAUGGCUUGUGAUGUAGAUGAGGUGCUGGGGCCAGACCAAAAUAGGAGACAGGAUGCAGCCUAAUGUCUUUUUUCCUACAUUUUGCAUGUGUUUUUGUCUUUUUGUGUUUAGAGUUUUAAAAGAAUGAGCCUCUUUCAUUUUUUAUUUUUGUACAGAAAACCCUUUAUCUUACUGAAUGUUUUUCCUGGUUUUCUCCUGUUGGGUUUGGAAAGUGUUCAAAAAUACUGCAUUUUGGAAAUAA
rnacentral:lncRNA from 1 species